rnacentral:tRNA from 1 species
AUUUAAAUAGUUUAUUAAAAAUAAAGAUUUGUGGUGUCUUAGAUGUUAUUUAUAUACUAACUUUAAAUU